rnacentral:lncRNA from 10 species
GUGAAGGGUAAAAGAGAUCUGAAAAUUCCCUGGCUAGCUGAACUGAUUCACAUUGGCUAAGACAAACUGUUAACUGUUACCUAAAGAAGAGAACAAACGAGAGAAGAGAAAACGCAAAGAGCCUGCAUGGCUUGGGUUUGAGGAAAAGUUUGGACAACUUUUGAGAGAGAGGAAGAGUGAUUUUGAACCACACAGCUGGACUGGGGAUGUGGAUGCAAUGUGAACAUAAAAGAUUGCCUUCUUAUGGAAACUGCAGCUAAGUACAGAGCUGCAAUGUAUCCAGGAGUCCUCACACUUCUUUGCAGCUGGGGGUGCCCAUAUGAGCUAAGACAAGCCAAUGAAAUGCCUCUCAUCCCUUUUCUACUGAGAGGAAGUGGAAUGCACUCCGACAAGGAUAAGGUUUUAUUGUGAGCUGGCCUUGGAAUUAAACCACCACCAACACACUUUUGGAUUAUCAGAAGGUGGAAGGAGUGCAAAGUAUGGUGACCAUUCUAUUUACGUUCUAUAAUAGAUUGUAAAAAGUGGCCACGAAUUCCUCCUAUCUGCAGGGUAUGCAUGUCCCUUUGCAUUGUCUUGAUCCUUCUUCCCAUUAAGAGGUAGGGCCAACUUGAUUCUAGACUUGCCCAUGUUAUAAUACUUGCAUUGGCCAAUGGGGUAUUACCAAAAAUGAUUUUAGCAGAGGCCCAAAAAGGUCUUACAUAUUGGAGUUUGCUCUUUAUUGAGUCUGGAAACCCUUCCACCAUCAUGUGACCAACUAGUGACAUGUGACCUUAGACCAAGUAGCCUACCAAAUGGCUGGUAUAUGAAUGGAGCUAUCCUAGAUUACCCAGCCCCAAUUCGGC